CAGCAAUUCGGUUGGGGAAAGUGCGGGGACAGUGUUGGGGAAAGCUUGGGGAGAACGUACAAUGCCCCUAUCGGAUCGGGGGACGGUCCGUGUUCCCCAUCCCUUCCCCGACUGUAUCGGUAAUAUGUUCAAAAGACAUGGGGAAAUCAUACCGAUCCCCGUGCGGGGAAAGAGCAGCAUUCCCCAAUCAAACCCCACUGUUGGGGUUCGGUCGGGUAAAAGAUCAGAUUCCCCGUACGGGGAAGGGUGCGUUAUCCCCGACCCAUUUUCUAGAACAGUUUGAUUGGGGAAAAGUAGGGGAACUGUUGAAAUUCCCCGCUCGGGAUUUUACACUUAAUCCCCAGACGAAUCCCAACCGCCAGUAGGAGCAGUGUCGCCUCAACACAGCGAGGGGAGGGGAGGAAGGGGUAGCAACGACCGGCCGCCGUCGGUUCCGUCCGCACAUCUGGUUGAGGGGCGUCUCCUGUCGCCAUCUGUCAUCGUGAAUGGGGCCGUGGCGACGUGUCAGACGGGACGAACGGGGGAAGUCGGUCCAGAGUCACUGCGCCGCGCGGUUGUGGGAGCAAGCCGUGGGCUAGGUACCGCUCCAGGUCAGAUCAUGGUUGGAACUGAAGAGUGCGGCGACACUACAGAGCUGUGAACGAAGACGGUGAACGGCGAGAUGUGGUGACCGCUUGUCUGACCAGUGCCCAAAGUCGUGAUCUACCGCUGGGGUCAGUGCGUGAGAAGCUGGACUCGGCACCAAAGGAGGACGCAGCUCGACGAGGAAGCUAUGCUGUGUUGAGGGACGUCUGCCGGUUACGACCGGAAGGUUUCCGACGGGACUGGCAGAACCCACAACGGCAGUAUGAACCCGGCGUGGAGUUAAUGCGUAAUUGCUCGCAUGAGCAACCGAAGAGCGACUUCCAGGCGAAGCUGCCGCAGAAUUCCUGGAGAUGCGCUGGGACAUGGAUCAUAGCAAGGUGGCUCUCAGCGGCAGCUGACCGCUGAGAUGUGUCUGAAACAGCCAGAAAAAGACUCGAGUUGUGGUUCCAGUGCACUACCGAACAGAAGGCGGGACCAGCUGAAGGGAGACUACAGCAAAGCUGUCGUUCUCAAUCUGCUGAACAGACUCCUGCUGCAGAGGAAAAUUGGGGUUCGACGUGUUAGAACUGGGGUUAGACCGGUUACCAGUGCUCGUGUUCGUCACCUGUUGUUUGUCACUGCUGUGCUGCUGCUGUAUGUCAUGUUUGCCACCUGCUAAGCGUUCACAAUGUUUUUUUGAGUGAAUAAUAAC